GGAGGGUAGUUCAGUGGUAGAGCGCGUGCUUGGCAUGCAUGAGGUCCUGGGUUCAAUCCCCAGUGCCUCCG
rnacentral:tRNA from 1 species